AUUGAACGCUGGCGGCAGGCCUAACACAUGCAAGUCGAACGAGUGGCGGACGGGUGAGUAAUGUCUGGGAAACUGCCUGAUGGAGGGGGAUAACUACUGGAAACGGUAGCUAAUACCGCAUACCAUCGGAUGUGCCCAGAUGGGAUUAGCUAGUAGGUGGGGUAAAGGCUCACCUAGGCGACGAUCCCUAGCUGGUCUGAGAGGAUGACCGUCCACACUGUAACUGAGGCACGGUGCAGACGCCUAGGGGAGGAAGGAGUGGGGAAUAGUGCAAAAUGGGCGAAAGCGUGAUGCAGCCAUGCCGCGUGUGUGAAGAGGGCCUUCAGGUUGUAAAGUACUUUCAGCGGGUAGGCGUUACCCGCAGAAGAAGCACCGGCUAACUCCGUGCCAGCAGCCGCGGUAAUAC
rnacentral:rRNA from 1 species